rnacentral:rRNA from 1 species
GACGAACGCUGGCGGCGUGCCUAACACAUGCAAGUCGAACGGAACUCUUUGGAUCAAGGCUUCGGCCAAGUGAAUUUGAGUUUAGUGGCGAACGGGUGAGUAACGCGUGAGCAACCUGCCUUUCAGAGGGGGGACAACAGUUGGAAACGACUGCUAAUACCGCAUAAUACAUUCGGGGGGCAUCCCCUGAAUGUCAAAGAUUUAUCGCUGAAAGAUGGGCUCGCGUCUGAUUAGCUAGUUGGCGGGGUAACGGCCCACCAAGGCGACGAUCAGUAGCCGGACUGAGAGGUUGGCCGGCCACAUUGGGACUGAGACACGGCCCAGACUCCUACGGGAGGCAGCAGUGGGGAAUAUUGGGCAAUGGGCGCAAGCCUGACCCAGCAACGCCGCGUGAAGGAAGAAGGCCCUCGGGUUGUAAACUUCUUUUGUCAGGGACGAAAUCUGACGGUACCUGACGAAUAAGCCACGGCUAACUACGUG